GUGGGUAUAGCUCAGAGGUAGAGUGAGUGCUUAGCAUACACAAGGUCCUGGGUACAAUCCCCAGUAUCUCCA
rnacentral:tRNA from 1 species